UAGACUUAUGCUUAACCCGAUUAUUGUUUAAAACUAUAGUUUUAUCAAUAGUAUAGUUUCACAAUGGUACGCUUAAGUUUUCUAUAUGUACAUAUAGUAUAAUCAUAUACUAUUGUCAACGUAAUAAUUAGUCUUAGUUCUUUUAUAUUAAAGAUUGGUAAUUUUAGUAUUUCAUUAUAUUGACUAUUGAUACAUACAUAAAUUAAAUUGAUUUUGUUUUAUUAAUUUAGGAUGGUUGUGCUGUACCAGGAUGCAUAUCAAAUACCGAUUUAGUAGAGGAUGAAAAUAUCAGCUUUUUCCAACCUUCAAUGGAAGAUUUACAUGCCUGGAUUUUAGCACUAGGAAUGCAGUUAACUGUAGAAAGUUGCUUAUGCAAGCUACACUUCAGACCUCAAGAUAUUUUAUACCAAAGAAUAAAGCUAAAUGGUUCAAUUCUAAGAAUAGCCAUCUAGAAACAAUGUACAAGAUUAUACAGAUUAUUGUUCUCCAUCUAUAAAUACUCCAUGUCAACUGAUAUCUGUUCAACCAUUGAAUAAAAGCUCAUACACAACUUGAGUAAUACUUGCUAUUUAACUUUAAAUAUUUCUGGAAUUCUAAAUAUUAUGAAACCAUACCGUUAAUUUAAUUCAUUAUUUUUAUUGUUUUUAGGUAUUUUUAAGUGUAUUUAUAAGUCAUAUGUAUAUUUGUAAAAAAAACUAUCAUUGUAAUCUUUUAUGUUAAUUUUAAUGAUACUACUUUUAGUGUUAUAACGAGGGGUUUGAGAACUGCCAGGAUUAGUAAAUACAUUCCAAGUUAUUAUUCUUAUUCUAAUUAAAUUUAUUUCAAACUGGAAUGGUACAAUUUGUGCAAACAAAAAAUUAUGUAUAUGUUUGUUAGGUUAUAUAGAAAAAUGACAACUUUAUAGCAAACUAUUUAUACCAUAUGAUGAACAAUAUAUAUUGUUAUGUUUUA